rnacentral:rRNA from 1 species
GAUGAACGCUGGCGGCGUGCUUAGCACAUGCAAGUCGAACGAUGAAGCCCAGCUUGCUGGGUGGAUUAGUGGCGAACGGGUGAGUAACACGUGAGUAACCUGCCCUUAACUCUGGGAUAAGCCUGGGAAACUGGGUCUAAUACCGGAUAGGAGCGUCCACCGCAUGGUGGGUGUUGGAAAGAUUUAUCGGUUUUGGAUGGACUCGCGGCCUAUCAGCUUGUUGGUGAGGUAAUGGCUCACCAAGGCGACGACGGAUAGCCGGCCUGAGAGGGUGACCGGCCACACUGGGACUGAGACACGGCCCAGACUCCUACGGGAGGCAGCAGUGGGGAAUAUUGCACAAUGGGCGCAAGCCUGAUGCAGCGACGCCGCGUGAGGGAUGACGGCCUUCGGGUUGUAAACCUCUUUCAGUAGGGAAGAAGCGAAAGUGACGGUACCUGCAGAAGAAGCACCGGCUAACUACGUG